CCCCUCUCGGGGUCACACCUGGAGAGUUUCCAGUAUUCUACCAGUCUCGGCUAUGGGAGGGAGAGUUAAGCAGAGGCCUGUCCAUUCCGUUCCUAGCUCGGGGCACGGCUAGAGAGUGGAAAGCAAUCUGCUACAAGU